rnacentral:rRNA from 1 species
UACGUAGGGAGCAAGCGUUGUCCGGAAUCAUUGGGCGUAAAGCGCGCGUAGGUGGCCUCAUAAGUCCGCUGUGAAAGUCAAAGGCUCAACCUUUGAAAGCCGGUGGAUACUGUGAGGCUAGAGUACGGAAGAGGCGAGUGGAAUUCCUGGUGUAGCGGUGGAAUGCGCAGAUAUCAGGAGGAACACCAAUAGCGAAGGCAGCUCGCUGGGACGUUACUGACACUGAGACACGAAAGCCAGGGGAGCGAACGGG